rnacentral:rRNA from 1 species
UGUUGAGCACAUAUACGCUGUCUCAAGAUAGCCCRKGCAUGUCCUAGUAUAGCAUUAUACCGUGAAACUGCGAAUGGCUCAUUAAAUCAGUUAUCGUUUAUUUGAUAGUACCUUACUACUUGGAUAACCGUGGUAAUUCUAGAGCUAAUACAUGCUGAAAACCCCGACUUCGGGAGGGGUGUAUUUAUUAGAUAAAAAACCAACGCCCUUCGGGGCUUCUUGGUGAUUCAUGAUAACUUCACGGAUCGCAUGGCCUUGCGCCGGCGACGGUUCAUUCAAAUUUCUGCCCUAUCAACUUUCGAUGGUAAGGUAUUGGCUUACCAUGGUUUCAACGGGUAACGGGGAAUUAGGGUUCGAUUCCGGAGAGGGAGCCUGAGAAACGGCUACCACAUCCAAGGAAGGCAGCAGGCGCGCAAAUUACCCAAUCCCGACACGGGGAGGUAGUGACAAUAAAUACUGAUACAGGGCUCUUUUGGGUCUUGUAAUUGGAAUGAGUACAAUUUAAACCUCUUAACGAGGAACAAUUGGAGGGCAAGUCUGGUGCCAGCAGCCGCGGUAAUUCCAGCUCCAAUAGCGUAUAUUAAAGUUGUUGCAGUUAAAAAGCUCGUAGUUGAAACUUGGGCCUGGCUGGCAGGUCCGCCUCACCGCGUGUACUUGUCCGGCCGGGCCUUUCCUUCUGGAGAACCUCAUGCCCUUCACUGGGUGUGCUGGGGAACCAGGACUUUUACUUUGAAAAAAUUAGAGUGUUCAAAGCAGGCCUUUGCUCGAAUACGUUAGCAUGGAAUAAUAGAAUAGGACGUGCGGUCCUAUUUUGUUGGUUUCUAGGACCGCCGUAAUGAUUAAUAGGGACAGUCGGGGGCAUCAGUAUUCAAUUGUCAGAGGUGAAAUUCUUGGAUUUAUUGAAGACUAACUACUGCGAAAGCAUUUGCCAAGGAUGUUUUCAUUAAUCAGUGAACGAAAGUUAGGGGAUCGAAGACGAUCAGAUACCGUCGUAGUCUUAACCGUAAACUAUGCCGACUAGGGAUCGGGCGAUGUUCUUUUUCUGACUCGCUCGGCACCUUACGAGAAAUCAAAGUUUUUGGKUCUGGGGGGGAGUAUUGGUCGCAAGGCUGAAACUCAGAGUUGGGCCGCGGGAGG